CUUGAUAUCCACUGUGGAAUUCGCCCUUUGGCUACGCGAGCGCAUGAGCUGUUUUUGACCCGUGUCUGCUGGUAGGUCCCCCGUCUUUGUGCGGCCGACUAUUGGCGCCGUGUCUUGCCAUUCGUGUGAGCUAUCUUACUUUCCCUUUCAAGUGCUUGCGUGAUGUUACCUGACCUAUGGGUAUUGGUGCUUCAUACAUAGUUGCCUCGUGGUGGACGCCUUUGGGUGUGCUGCUGCGGCCAUAUGGCAAUUGCGGUGUUGCCUCGUGGUGCUGGUUCUCGUGCCUGGUGCUAUCAAGGCAGCCUCACUCUCGUUGUUGGUUUUGGAUGUUGCUCAUGAUAUAGCCUCGUGGCCCAUUUGGUUGCCUCGGGGCCUGACCCUAAGAACGCUCUUUGACUUUGAGAACAUCGUUGAACAUGUGUUGCCUCUACCUUUCCACAGUUAGUGGUAGGAUUACGCAGCAUACUUGUUCCGAUCCCCAAAUAAGUCGGACGAGCUUGGCCCGCUCAACAGCGACAACCGGCCCGGCUGUUGCCUCCGCAUUGCCACGCAAGUGGCGGUGGGUGGGUGACUACCGGCGUUGGAAGUCUAAGAGGACGUGCUACCUGGUUGAUCCUGCCAGUAGUCAUAUGCUUGUCUAAGGGCGAAUUCCACAUU
rnacentral:misc_RNA from 1 species